CCCCAGAUGUUGCUGAACUACAACUCCCAUGAUUCGUUCAAUGAAACAUAAAGCCAGGGAAUCAUGGGAGUUGUAGUUCAGCAACAUCUGGGG
rnacentral:miRNA from 1 species